rnacentral:ncRNA from 2 species
CAUCCGAGGAGCGUUGCAGCGCCCCCAGCUACUGGCGGGGCGUGAGGCUCGGAGUCAUCCAGCAACGACGCUCAUCCACU